UAGGAACUUCAUACCGUGCUC
rnacentral:ncRNA from 3 species